GCCUGGCUGGCUCAGUCAGUAGAGCAUGAGACUUUUAAUCUCGGGGUCGUGAGUUCAAACCCCAUAUUGGGUG